CUCCUUCCAGUUGUUCUCUAACAUUCUCUUGAGAAGAGAAACAUGAGAAAAAUUUUAGUAUAUAAGGAGCAAAUUUUGAAAGGAUGCUAGCACCUGAUGAGAUCAAGAUCUUCUGAUCAAAUCAACCUCAUGUGGAUACCUGUAGAGACUGGAUGCAAGUGUGGCUUCAAAGGAACCUUCAAAAUAUUCACGGAUCAUCGAAUCGUGAUGAAGAUCUACCCAUACAAAGUAAAGAUCAGAUCUUCUUCUAUUUUAUUUUAUCUUAAUCUUAAAUCUAUGAGGCAUCUUAAUGUUUUUAAGAUACGCUCUCAUGC
rnacentral:lncRNA from 1 species